rnacentral:rRNA from 1 species
CAGCCGUAAACAAUGUGCGUUAGGUGUGUCGGUAACCACGUGUUACUGAUGCGCCGAAGAGAAAUCGUGAAACGCACCACCUGGGAAGUACGGUCGCAAGGCUGAAACUUAAAGGAAUUGGCGGGGGAGGCACCACAACAGGUGGAGCCUGCGGUUUAAUUUGGAUUCAACGCCGGACAUCUCACCGGAUAAGACAGCUGAAUGAUUGCCGGGCUGAAGACUCUGCAUGACUAGCUGAGAGGAGGUGCAUGGCGUAGACGUCU